rnacentral:misc_RNA from 1 species
UAAAAAUAAAUCAAUUCAAAAAUCGAUUCGGUUCGAUUUGAAUAUAUAUAAAAUUACUAUUCGGUUCGGUUUAACUGAUUUUUUCUCUUCAAAACCAAACCGAAAUAAUCGAAAUAACUAAAAUUUUUAUAAUAUAAAAUUGAAUCGAACCGAUUGAAUUUUAAAAUCGAACUGAUUGAACCGAAUUAAUUCAGUUCGGUUUAAUUUUUCAGUUUGAACCGAAAUCUGCUCACCCCUAAUUAAGGCAGAUCAUAAGUUGUUCAAUGACUAUUGAAAUAAGAUGCCAUACAUAAGGGAUUACUAAGAAAAAGUGUUUAUCUUUGAUUCAGAACAUGGUUGGAUGUCCCUCCCUUCUUC